UCUAGUGGCCUGACAUGACAACUACAGGAGAUUCAUGAUGGCGGCCUCGUCAAACGUGAAACUUUUCCACAACCAAUAUCCGAAAAUGCUGGGCUCUCUCUAAACACUGAUUCCGGCUCCCUGAAGGAGCUAAAGCUCAUGCCUGCCGCCUGUCCAUAAGCAAAAAGGGCCUUGAUGAGACUUUGGACUCAGUUCAAGGAGUCGGACAGAUGCUCCUUCAGGCCAGAUGAAGUGGAAAAGCGGUGACAGCUGGAUACAGACCAGGAUGGGGUUGGCACCGUGCCCUCAGAGUGAAGAGGUCCUCCUUUUCAACGCCCACAUAAACAACAGGAGCAGGCGCAUGGCCUUGCAGCCAAAGUGGAGCAUAAAUUGGACAGAGGUUGUGAUCUGGGGCCCAGACGUCCGUCAGACAGCAGGGACCGAAUGCAUCUGCAAGCAGAGCGGACAUGGCUGACUGAUAAGAGCUGAGAGAUGACAGCGGCGAUAGCUGGCGACUUCACAAGAGCCGCGGGGAGUCAUCUGGAAACGUUCUCCGUGUGAGGUGGAGGUACAUUGAAUGAAAGAGCCGUAGAUAAAAGGAGAUGUCAGUCACCAUCUGUAGCGAGGCUGCCCACCUGCUCUGAAUACCACACAGCCCGGCGGCUAAUGAGAUACCCGGGUGGAUAGGCGGAGGGAUGCGGGGAUACAGUAUUUCAUUAUGAGCCGCCGCCGGUUGGUUGAUUCCUGCUCGGCUCUGAUAAAGAGUGAUGGCAGGACGAGGCUGCAGGAACAAUGAGGUGAUUAUCUGAAGCUGCCAAAUACCGGCAAUGCCACGCCGACCCGACUGAUAUCAAUUACUGGGAUCUGGGGCUCAACUUGACCCAGGUGGAAAAUGCAUACCAAGCUCCUGUUGGACAUUUUCAGAAAUAUAUAUAUAUAUACCGUAUAUAUAUAUAUGCUCUGCAUAUAAGCAUGCUCUGUGUCAUA